rnacentral:rRNA from 1 species
UACGUAGGGUGCAAGCGUUGUCCGGAAUUAUUGGGCGUAAAGAGCUCGUAGGCGGCCGGUUGCGUCUGCUGUGAAAUCCCGGGGCUUAACCCCGGGCGUGCAGUGGAUACGGGCUGGCUGGAGGCAGGCAGGGGAGAAUGGAAUUCCCGGUGUAGCGGUGAAAUGCGCAGAGAUCGGGAGGAACACCCGUAGCGAAGGCGGCACUCUGGGCCGGUACUGACGCUGAGGAGCGAAAGCGUGGGGAGCAAACAGG